AAGGAAGUCAUACUGCGUAUGAGGUUGGCUUGAAACCGACUUUAGGGGGUUCAAUACCUCCCUUUCUUG
rnacentral:tRNA from 1 species